AUGCCAAAUCAAGGCAGGGGCAGCGCUCAUGUCAAGAAAGCAUGGAAUUUACUUAAAGACCGUCACAAGCAAGAUAUUAGGACGGCAGGAUUUGGCAGCAUAGAGAACUGCAAAAUAACGGGCUCCAUCCGCAGACCACUUGCAGCACACAUCUACGAGAACCUGGACACAGAAAGCAUGACAAUAACCUUCGGUGAUGGUACCGAAGACAAGAAACUCAAGAUUACCAAGGAAGCUAUACACAAGGUGUUUGGAUACCCAAACGGCACGGAAAACGCCGCUAUCUUCGCCCGACAAGCUAUAAUGGUAGAGGACAUGGACUAUCCGGAGAUGGCAAAGAUGGAUUUCUGCAAGGUAAUCAUCGAAUGUAUUAAGGAAGGAGCCAAGAUAUGGCAGAAACACAGAAAUUUGCCUCGGGAAGAAAAGAACAAAAAGUAUGCCAAUGGUUUGGCACAGGGGCCAGUAAUCAUGUACCUCGACUCCCUGCUGCUGCCAACCGACACAAAAGAAAUGCGGAAGAUUGCAAAGACAAUGGACAAGACCUCAUUACCACAAGCAAACCAUCUCAAAGAGAGUGACCUAGCGAAAAUAGCUAGAGCAGACAUGAAAAGGGACGAAAAAGCACGACCAGAUGACUAUGAAUUUGGCAAAAUACAGGAGAACAUCGCAAACAACAGCAACACCAGAACACGACCAAACUGCUACCACCUCCACCCAAACGCUGGCGCGAACCAUGACAUAGUUUGCACAAGGUACCUGACAGACAACGCGACCCUGCAGACACUAGAGCAAGCAGAUCCAGCAGCCUCAAGUAGACUAGCCGAUGCCAACCGCAUGAAUGAAAUCGUAGCCACAACAGAACCAAGAGAAAGGAGAAAAAAAUAA
rnacentral:rRNA from 1 species